rnacentral:misc_RNA from 1 species
UUAAUAUUUGUUUUUACUGAAGAUACUGCUACUACAAAGGUUUUUGUUGGUCCUCAUGGCAGGCAAGCCCACCGAGGAAACGAACGGUACUCGUAAACAAAGGGUGCCAUUUGGCGCGUUUUAAGGCCGCCGCCGUGCAAGCAUUUCUGCAAGCACCAUUAAUGAUCCUUCCGCAGGUUCACCUACGGAAA